GUGCUCACUUCAGCAGCACAUAUACUAAAAUUGGAACAAUACAGAGAUUAGAAUGGCCCCUGCGCAAGGAUGACACGCAAAUUCGUGAAGUGUUCCAUAUUUUU
ensembl:snRNA U6 U6 spliceosomal RNA